AACGCAAAUUGCGCCCUUUGGUAUUCCGAAGGGCAUGCCUGUUUGAGUGUCAUAUAGACUUCACCCAAUCAUUCUAUCUAAUUUAGAGUGUGUUGCUGGUGCUUUGGACGUCUUGCCAUUAGCCUGGCUCGUCUUAAAUGUCUAAGUGGUAACGGCGUGAUAAGUCUUCGCCUAUCUAACCACUCUAAGCCCCCUCUAUAUUUCAAUCUCUGACCUCAAAUCAGGUAGGACUACCCGCUGAACUUAA
rnacentral:misc_RNA from 1 species